rnacentral:rRNA from 1 species
CAGCCGUAAACAAUGUGCGUUAGGUGUGUCGGUAACCACGCGUUACUGAUGCGCCGAAGAGAAAUCGUGAAACGCACCACCUGGGAAGUACGGUCGCAAGGCUGAAACUUAAAGGAAUUGGCGGGGGAGCACCACAACAGGUGGAGCCUGCGGUUUAAUUGGACUCAACGCCGGACAUCUCACCGGAUAAGACAGCUGAAUGAUUGUCAAUCUGAAGGUUUUACAUGACUAGCUGAGAGGAGGUGCAUGGCGUCAGUGACU